rnacentral:rRNA from 1 species
GACGAACGCUGGCGGCGUGCUUAACACAUGCAAGUCGAACGAAGUGGCGAACGGGUGAGUAACGCGUAAUCAACCUGCCCUUCAGAGGGGGACAACAGUUGGAAACGACUGCUAAUACCGCAUACUGAAGGAGGGGAUUGCGUCUGAUUAGAUAGUUGGAGGGGGAACGGCCCACCAAGGCGAUGAGCCGUAGCGGGUCUGAGAGAAUUACCGGCCACAUUGGGACUGAGACACGGCCCAGACUCCUACGGGAGGCAGCCGUGGGGAAUCUUCCGCAAUGGACGAAAGUCUGACGGGGCAACGCCGCGUGAGUGAUGACGGCCUUCGGGUUGUAAAGCUCUGUUAAUCGUGACGCGGUGCCGGGAUAGAAAGCCACGGCUAACUACGUGCCAGCAGCCGCGGUAAUUC